CUUAUGAAGGAGUAAAGGAGGAAGAGAUAUUCCAGCCAAUUUCAUUUGUUUUUAUUUUCUUCCAGCCCUUUGCCACUUAGCAGUGGGCCUUCCAGGUCAGGACAAAAUCGCCUUAUCACCAUCUCGCAGGGACACGCCACACGCGCCCGUGAACCCAUGGUCCUUCACCUUAUCUCUUACUUCAGCCCACUACCCUCACUUCAUUUCCUCUUCUCCUGGAUCCCCUUUCUCGUCUAGCUCACUGGGGGCGCAGGUCGCCGUUGCAACACCAGCCACAGGAAUCGGCGGGAUACGCUAGCCCUCGGUCCGCAUCGACGUCCAUGCCUCCGGCUCUGACAUGCACGCCCGCUGGACACCGCCGUGAACCACAUUGUUUUCCGCAGCCUCUUGGACCGAGGUCGUCUUCGUCGGUUCCGUCGGCCGCCACUGUGGCGGAGCGGUCAUCCUCCUCACCGAACAGCUCCAGGGACCGUGACGGGCUCCGUGUCAUGUCCAAAUUGGACACGGAGCCCGUCACGGUCCCUGGAGCAACUCGAAGCCGCGGGUCCCUCCUACUUCUUCCCUGACGUUGACUGCCAUUGUCGCUGUACGGAGCUCAUUGCUCUGCUCCGUCCGACCUUGCCACUUACAGCAUGGGUUUCUUCAUCGUUUCAAUAGAGUCCGGCAAUGAGGGGUAUUACGAGUUCGAUCCACAGCUUCAUCAGGACGUUGACCAGGAAGGCAAGCAUCAUGAAUUCCCUGUUUUAUGUUUUACUUAUGUUGAAGGAUUAAACUAUCUUGUUGCCCGUGUUGGUUACCAUGCCGUACCUUUCUUUGCAAUAUCCACGUUUAGGACAUGGGUAGGAGUUGCUUGAUGUUCAUGAUCAGCUGGUUGUGACAUAUAUUAAUUCCGGCAAUUUGUAGUCAUCUUAAAAUAGUAAAGUUAUGAUA